rnacentral:rRNA from 1 species
UACGUAGGGGGCAAGCGUUAUCCGGAUUUACUGGGUGUAAAGGGGGCGCAGACGGCGAUGCAAUCCAGGAGUGAAAGCCCGGGGCCCAACCCCGGGACUGCUCUUGGAACUGCGUGGCUGGAGUGCAGGAGGGGCAGGCGGAAUUCCUGGUGUAGCGGUGAAAUGCGUAGAUAUCAGGAGGAACACCGGUGGCGAAGGCGGCCUGCUGGACUGCAACUGACGUUGAGGCCCGAAAGCGUGGGGAGCAAACAGG